rnacentral:tRNA from 1 species
GGUUCUAUGGUGUAGUGGUUAGCACUCUGGACUUUGAAUCCAAUGACCUAGGCUCAAAUCUCGGUAGGAACU